UGCUGGGAUAGUUUAGUGGCGCACGGGUGAGUACGCGGAUUGCCUCUAGGUACGGAAUAGCCCGGGAAAACUGGAGUAAUACCGUAUGAUGACUCCGGUCCAAAGAUUUAUCGGCCUAAGAUAAGCCCGCGUCUGAUUAGCUAGUUGGUGAGUAAUGGCUCACCAAGGCGACGAUCAGUACUGGUCUUAAGGAUGAUCAGCCACACUGGAACUGAGACACGGUCCAGACUCCUACGGGAGGCAGCAGUGGGGAAUAUUGGGCAAUGGGCGCAAGCCUGACCCAGCCAUGCCGCGUGAGUGAAGAAGGCCUUCGGGUUGUAAAACUCUUUCAGAUGGGAAGAUAAUGACGGUACCAUCAGAAGAAGCCCCGGCUAACCUCGUGCCAGCAGCCGCGGUAAUACGAGGGGGGCAAGCGUUGUUCGGAAUCACUGGGCGUAAAGCGUACGCAGGCGGAUAAGUAAGCUAGGGUGAAAUCCCGGGGCUCAACCUCGGAACUGCCUUUAGAACUGUUAUCUAAGAGAUCGGAAAGAGGAUGGGGAAUUCCUAGUGUAGAGGUGAAAUUCGUAGAUUUUAGGAGGGAACACCAGUGGCGAAGGCGGC
rnacentral:rRNA from 1 species